ACGUUAUUCGGAAUUACUGGGCUUAAAGGGUGCGUAGGCGGCGUGGAAAGUUGGGUGUGAAAUCCCUCAGCUUAACUGAGGAACAGCGCCCAAAACUACCAUGCUCGAGGGAGAUAGAGGAAUGCGGAACUUAGGGUGGAGCGGUGAAAUGCGUUGAUAUCCUAGGGAACACCGGUGGCGAAAGCGGCAUCCUGGACCGACACUGACGCUGAGGCGCGAAAGCUAGGGUAGCAAACGGG
rnacentral:rRNA from 1 species